AUGUAUGAGCCUGGGAUGGGUUGGAUGAGGUGGAUCAUCUUUCUGAUGAAUUAGGCUUGGCAUGUCCAACAGCAUUCUGGAGAGUGAACUCACUCUGCACACACGCCCUGCUGAAAUAAUACAGUCCAGGUUCUCAGCAACAGGGAAUUGUUUGGGAAUAACUGUCGCCGGUCUUUGUAGACAGCCAGACUCGUCCCCAUUUCAAAGCUGGAAAGUGCCGAUGAAUCACGCUGGGCACUGGCAGCAAAACACCGCUCAAGUGCCUGUCACUCAACACCUCUGUCAUUGGAAAACUUCAUCCCUCGGGAUUGCUUUCGCCCCUUUUGUUCACAAGCAGGGCUUGGGAAAGUUUAAAUCCUUGUGCCUUAGGAGUGGGACCGGUGCCAGUUCCACAGCCAGCCCUGCAGCCAGCUGUUUUAUCCUGGGGUUUUGGGAUAACUUUGUGAUAAGAUUCUUGUGAAAUUUGCCCAGAGAGGUUGUGGACUCCCCAUCCCUGGAAGUGUCCAAGGCUGGGUCUAUGGAAGGUAUCCCUGUCCAUGGGACUAGAUGCUCCUUAAGGUCCCUUCCCAUCCAAACCAUCUUGUGAUUCCAUGGACCACAUGGAGCCACCACAGGAAUUGGCAGAUACAGUUUUGUUCCCAUCUCUAAAAAGCUCAGGUCCCUCUGGAAAUGCUGCUGGAAAUCCUGCUUCUCCAGGCUUAUUGCACUGUCUUAAAAAAUAUAAUUACAUGAAUAAAAAUGGAAUAUUUUGACAAGAUCAUUUUGUUCCUGUGUGGAUUUUGACAGCUGCCACUGAGCUCUGUCACAAAUAUGUGCUGCCGCCUCAGGUUUGAGGGUUUGGACUUUAUUUUAGCAGGAUGAAAACAAACAAGCAAACAACUCAGAAAUAUAGACAUAGGAGGAAAGAUUGUGGGAAUGGGAACUGCUUUGACUCCACUGGCUCUGUGAAAAUGGAGUGCUCCGGGGCUGUUCCCAAUGCACACUUAAUGAACACAGUGUCAUUUCCCAAGGAUUUAAUCAGCUCUUUCAGCACAUCUGGAAGUGUGAUCCUGCCUGCUGAAAUCCACUGGAAAGCACAGGAUUCCCUCUGCCCAGGACCACUCUAGGACAUCCUGGGUCUUUCCCACCACAGGUAUCAGCACAGCCCUUUGUAUUUAACAGGUGGUUUGAGUAAAAAUAAAAGAUAAAAAUGUAAAAAAAUAAUUCAUUUUGAGGGACAAAAAGUGCUUGUGGUGUUUUGUGUUGUUCAGGAAAACAGGAUUUGUAUUUAAUUUAUUUAUACAAAAGGCUGAAAUUGUAAAUGUAUACCUCUGAGCAGCUUCUCCUUGUGCUGGCUGCAGAGCAGAGGACAGGAAGAACGGAAUAAUGAGGAAUCAACAGAAUAAUGAGGAAUCACCCUGGUGGGGGCAGUUGUGCUUCCAUCUGCCCCUGCCUGGUGACGUAUCCAAAUGCAGGAAACUCCCAGAAAUUUCUUGUGUCAGCCUUGUUUUCCAAUUGUCUGAGAGGAGAUGUUUGCAAUGGAGGUUUUAAAUUGAAUGUUAUUCUUAGGCAGGAUUUGUCAGGUUGGUUUUAUGUUUAUUGCCAGACUGAGAUUUUAUUGCAAGGAAGGGCUGAAUCCUGCAGGUUUGCACAGUGAGGCCGUGUCACUGAGUCUGACUCUGAACCCCUGGGAGCUGGAUGCAAACAGAUUAGAAGCAAAGUCUGUGUCCAAAGGGCACUUUUGAAAGGAUUAUUGAUCAGUCUGGGGGCUUUGCCCACCAACAGACACAUAUCAGGACUUGAGGUCAUGCAAUUCAUUCCCACAUGCUGGAUUCCAGUCCCAGGCAGAAAGAUUUCCAACUGAAAAAUAAGGGAAAAUUAGGUUGGAUAUUGGGAAGAAAUUCCUCCCUGUGAGCGUCAUGAGUCCCUGGCACAGGGUGCCCAGAGAAGCUGUGGCUGGAAUUGUCCAAGGCCAGGCUGGACCAGGCUGGGACAGUGGAAGGCAUCCCUGCCCAUGCCAGGGAUGGGGUGGGCUCUAAAGUCCCUUCCCACCCAAACCAUUCCAUGACUGUAAGACAUCCAAAAGCAGCUGGACAUUGCCAGCCCAUGGUUCCUUUGGGGAUACUCUCUCAGCUCUCUCCAUCUCCCCUAGCUCUGAGUACCUGAAAUGAGUUUUAUUCCAAUUUUUCCAGUGGAGAUCAGCACCAAAGGGCAGAUCCUCCCCAGGGAGAUACACAACGUGGGGAGUCUGGAUGUGCAGGGCAGAGCUCCCCCAGUUCUCCCAGUGGGAUGUGUCAGUGCUUUCCUUUUUCCCCUCAGGCUCCCUUUGCAUCUGAAACUUGUCUUUUUUUGGCUAAGGAAUCCACUGAGUGCGUUGGAGCCCAUGGUUAAUAACAGUAGUAAUAAUGCAGCUCCUCCAAGCAACUGAGAAGGAAUUAAUUUCUUUCCAUUCCGUGUUCUGCCAGGGUGGAGGUGAUGUGGUCGUCACUCAUCCGGAAGGAAUUUCAGAGGAUGAGCAGUCGCUGCCAGCCCAGAGCGAGAGGCAGGAGAACACUUUACAAACGCUGUAAACCUGGGAGUAAAGUCUUGGCUGAAUUUGCAUCUGUCACCAUGCUGCUGUCAAGGUCUCUGCAAAUCAGGAGGGUGGAAGUUGAAUACAGUUUUUUGCAUCUGCUCUGCAAAUUCACAAGGAAGACGUGCCAGGAUGGGCUCUUAGAACACUUCACUGGAAACAGAAAACACACAGAGCUGCUCAGGGCUUUUUUGGCUGCAUCCUCACCCUCAGAGUGCAGGAGACAGACCCAGCACUGGCUCACGGAGGCUUAGGAGCUGUUCUGGUGCCAUGGGGAUGGGUAAGAAUUUGGCAAAGAUGUUUCAUGGACGGUUCAUUGGUGGUGGACCCAUGUGUUGAUGUGGCAAAUGGUCCAACGUGUUGUGCAACUUGGAUUAAAACCAUCAGAUUUGACAUUUUCAGUAAUAAAACCCAACAAAUUGGGCUGCUCUGCCUCCAACCACCACCUCAGCUCUGGGAGCUUGUCCCCAUUCCCUCAAAUCAUUCUAAGAAACAAGGCCAGAUGCUUGAAAAGUGGGUGAAACUCUUCAAUUAAUGGAGCCCAACCAUCCACCCACCAUAAAACCUCCUCUGGUGCAAAUGGGCUGUCCCAGCUCUCCCAAGACAUCAUUCCAUGGCCCUUUCCAGGUGCUGGAGUGGAGUCUCAGGAUGUUCACCCCACCACAGGACCAUUGGGCGGGACCAUCCCUUUCCCUGCUCUGGGUCCCCACCUGCUGGAGAUGCUCGGCUGGCUUGGCUGGGAUUCUCACACCUGCACCAGGUGAUGGACGAGGGGGUCCCCUUGGAGUGGGAGCUUGGAGGCUUUUCCCUGGAAAGCAGCUCUGGAAUGUUGCACAAGGGGCUUUUUCUGGUAGACAUGGCUUACAGCCCCUCUCCUCUCCACCCCUGGCUGGAGGUUGCAGGGAUUGAGGGAUGGGUUGAUGGGCACUGACCAUUUCCUUUUGGGACCAGCAUUCUCAAAGGGCUGUGGGACAUUCCUCAUCUGCCCCCCUUCUGCCCUGGCUCUUUCCUUGCCCAUGUCUCUUGUCCUGCCAUGGGGGCUGGAUUCCCACCUUGCCUGGUGCUCCCCAUUCCUGCCAGGAUCCACACCUGGCACUGGCAGGGACAAGGAGAUGCCUGUGGAGCCACAGGAGGGAGCCCGGGGCUGGUAUGAGAUCUCGGCUGAGACCCCCCCACCCAGGCAGGUCAUGGAAAUCUCCCGGGCAGCUGGGUGGAAACCAGGAGACUGAAGUGCUGUGGGCACCUUGGCAGACCUUGGGUCCACUCCAAAUGAACCUGAGGCCCUGAAACUGCCCCUGCAGAUGAGCAGCCAGGAUGUUUCAUAGGAUAUUUGCACAUCCCAGAGAAACCUCAGUGUGCAAACUGUGUGUGUGCAGAUUUUGGGUGCCUCGCCCUGUGCCUGCCCUUGCAGCUGCUCUUCCCAACCAGGGCAAUACCCAC